rnacentral:rRNA from 1 species
GAUGAACGCUAGCGGCAGGCUUAACACAUGCAAGUCGAGGGGUAUAGUUCUUCGGAGCUAGAGACCGGCGCACGGGUGCGUAACGCGUAUGCAAUCUACCUUUUACAGAGGGAUAGCCCAGAGAAAUUUGGAUUAAUACCUCAUAGUAUGUGAGAAUCGCAUGGUUUUCACAUUAAAGUUCCAACGGUAAAAGAUGAGCAUGCGUCCCAUUAGCUAGAUGGUAAGGUAACGGCUUACCAUGGCGACGAUGGGUAGGGGUCCUGAGAGGGAGAUCCCCCACACUGGUACUGAGACACGGACCAGACUCCUACGGGAGGCAGCAGUGAGGAAUAUUGGACAAUGGGCGCAAGCCUGAUCCAGCCAUGCCGCGUGCAGGAUGACGGUCCUAUGGAUUGGU